GAGUUUGAUCCCGGCUCAGGAUGAACGCUAGCGGCAGGCUUAACACAUGCAAGUCGAGGGGUAACAGGAGAAAGCUUGCUUUCUUGCUGACGACCGGCGCACGGGUGCGUAACGCGUAUACAAUCUACCUCUUACUGGGGAAUAGCCCGGAGAAAUUCGGAUUAAUGCCCCAUAGUAUUACUUCUUCGCAUGUUGAAGUAAUUAAAGGUUACGGUAAGAGAUGAGUAUGCGUCCCAUUAGCUAGAUGGUAAGGUAACGGCUUACCAUGGCUACGAUGGGAAGGGGGCCUGAGAGGGUGAUCCCCCACACUGGUACUGAGACACGGACCAGACUCCUACGGGAGGCAGCAGUGAGGAAUAUUGGACAAUGGACGCAAGUCUGAUCCAGCCAUGGCCGCGUGCAGGAAGAAUGCCCUAUGGGUUGUAAACUGCUUUUAUUUGGGAAUAAACCCCUCUACGUGUAGAGGGCUGAAGGUACCAAACGAAUAAGCACCGGCUAACUCCGUGCCAGCAGCCGCGGUAAUACGGAGGGUGCAAGCGUUAAUCGGAAUUACUGGGCGUAAAGCGCGCGUAGGCGGCUCGAUAAGUCGGAUGUGAAAGCCCCGGGCUCAACCUGGGAACUGCAUUCGAUACUGGCCGACUAGAGUAUAAGAGAGGGAGGUAGAAUUCCAUGUGUAGCGGUGAAAUGCGUAGAUAUGUGGAGGAAUACCAGUGGCGAAGGCGGCCUCCUGGCUUAAUACUGACGCUGAGGUGCGAAAGCGUGGGGAGCGAACAGGAUUAGAUACCCUGGUAGUCCACGCCCUAAACGAUGCUUACUCGAUGUUUGUACUAGAUAUGAGCA
rnacentral:rRNA from 1 species